rnacentral:rRNA from 1 species
UCUAGAGGCUUCGUCAAUGCCCGAAAGGGUGAACGAGCGACGCCGCGUGCGGGAUGAAGGGCUUCGGCUUGUAAACCGCUUUUCUUUGGAAAGAAGGCCCAGAUCGUGAAUCUGGGAUUGACGGUACCAGGGGAAUAAGCCCCGGCUAACUCCGUGCCAGCAGCCGCGGUAAGACGGAGGGGGCAAGCGUUGUUCGGAAUUAUUGGGCGUAAAGGGCUCGUAGGCGGACCGGUGUGUCUGGCGUGAAAUCUCCACUGCUUAACAGGGAGGGGCCGCUGGAAACUGCCGAUCUUGAGUAUGGUAGAGGACCAUGGAAUUCCGGGUGUAGCGGUGGAAUGCGUAGAUAUCCGGAAGAACACCGGUGGCGAAGGCGGUGGUCUGGACCAAAACUGACGCUGAGGAGCGAAAGCUAGGGGAGCAAACGGGAUUAGAUACCCCGGUAGUCC